CGGGAAGUAGCUCAGCUUGGUAGAGCACAUGGUUUGGGACCAUGGGGUCGCAGGUUCGAACCCUGUCUUCCCGACCA
rnacentral:tRNA from 1 species